AUUGAACGCUGGCGGCAGGCCUAACACAUGCAAGUCGAACGAGUGGCGGACGGGUGAGUAAUGUCUGGGAAUCUGCCCGAUGGAGGGGGAUAACUACUGGAAACGGUAGCUAAUACCGCAUACUAUCGGAUGUACCCAUAUGGGAUUAGCUAGUAGGUGGGGUAAAGGCUCACCUAGGCGACGAUCUCUAGCUGGUCUGAGAGGAUGAUCAGCCAAACUGGGACUGAGACACGGGCCAGACUCCUACGGGAGGCAGCAGUGGGGAAUAUUGCACAAUGGGCGCAAGCCUGAUGCAGCCAUGCCGCGUGUAUGAAGAAGGCCUUCGGGUUGUAAAGUACUUGCAGCGGGGAGGCGUUACCCGCAGAAGAAGCACCGGCUAACUCCGUGCCAGCCGCCGCGGUAAUAC
rnacentral:rRNA from 1 species